rnacentral:rRNA from 1 species
UGAUCCUGGCUCAGAACGAACGCUGGCGGCAGGCCUAACACAUGCAAGUCGAGCGCGCCUUCGGGUGAGCGGCGGACGGGUUAGUAACGCGUGGGAACGUGCCCUUCUCUACGGAAUAGCCUCUGGAAACGGAGAGUAAUACCGUAUACGCCCUUUGGGGGAAAGAUUUAUCGGAGAAGGAUCGGCCCGCGUUAGAUUAGGUAGUUGGUGGGGUAACGGCCUACCAAGCCUACGAUCUAUAGCUGGUUUUAGAGGAUGAUCAGCAACACUGGGACUGAGACACGGCCCAGACUCCUACGGGAGGCAGCAGUGGGGAAUCUUAGACAAUGGGGGCAACCCUGAUCUAGCCAUGCCGCGUGAGUGAUGAAGGCCUUAGGGUCGUAAAACUCUUUCGCCUGUGAUGAUAAUGACAGUAGCAGGUAAAGAAACCCCGGCUAACUCCGUGCCAGCAGCCGCGGUAAUACGGAGGGGGUUAGCGUUGUUCGGAAUUACUGGGCGUAAAGCGCGCGUAGGCGGAUUAGAAAGUUGGGGGUGAAAUCCCGGGGCUCAACCCCGGAACUGCCUCCAAAACUGCUAGUCUAGAGUUCGAGAGAGGUGAGUGGAAUUCCGAGUGUAGAGGUGAAAUUCGUAGAUAUUCGGAGGAACACCAGUGGCGAAGGCGGCUCACUGGCUCGAUACUGACGCUGAGGUGCGAAAGUGUGGGGAGCAAACAGGAUUAGAUACCCUGGUAGU